rnacentral:rRNA from 1 species
GAUUAACGCUGGCGGCAUGCCUAACACAUGCAAGUCGAACGGAGUUUAAGUGUAGCUUGCUAUAUUUAAACUUAGUGGCGAACGGGUGAGUAACGCGUGAGUAAUCUGCCCUAUACUACGGGAUAACACAAAGAAAUUUGUGCUAAUACGGUAUGAAACAUAAGAACGCAUGUUCUAAUGUUAAAAGAUUUAUCGGUAUAGGAUGAGCUCGCGUCCCAUUAGCUAGUUGGUGAGAUAAAAGCCCACCAAGGCCACGAUGGGUAGCCGGUCUGAGAGGAUGAACGGCCACAUUGGGACUGAGACAUGGCCCAGACUCCUACGGGAGGCAGCAGUGGGGAAUAUUGGGCAAUGGAGGCAACUCUGACCCAGCAAUGCCGCGUGAACGAUGAAGGUCUUUUGAUUGUAAAGUUCUUUAGUUUGGAAGGAAAAAAAUGACUUACAAAAGAAUAAGCCCCGGCUAACUACGUGCCAGCAGCCGCGGUAAUACGUAGGGGGCAAGCGUUAUCCGGAAUGACUGGGUGUAAAGGGUGUGUAGGUGGUUUAGUAAGUUGGAAGUGAAAUACCUAGGGCUUAACUCAGGUGCUGCUUUCAAAACUGCUAGACUUGAGUGUAGGAGAGGAAAGUGGAAAUUCCUAGUGUAGCGGUGGAAUGCGUAGAUAUUAGGAGGAACAUCAGUGGCGAAGGCGACUUUCUGGAAUAUAACUGACACUAAAACACGAAAGCGUGGGGAGCAACCAGGAUUAGAUACCCCUGG